AUUCUCACUAUUAGAGACGAGUAGAGAAACAGAGAGAACUAAAGAAUAUUGUCAGAACAUUACAAAAGUUUACUAGUGCGCAGCGCUCACUAUUUUAUUACUUGUCAAGUUGUCACUCACUAAGGGACAUGCGAUAUAUCAGUGUGAAAUAAGCUUUGUGUGAAAUGUAUUGUUCUGUAUUCUCUAUUAUUGUACGAGUGUUUUAUACAAGAGAAAGUUUACUGCUUAGUUCUAACUCGGGAUAAUAAUGAACAUGUUUCUGCAUCAUCUUCAGCAAUAGAAAAAAUUCCCUAACCUGAAUAUUUUGCCAUAAAAUGUAAUGACUCUCCUAUAAAUAUCGAAGAAAUACUUGAUAAGUAUUGGUCCCCAUAUAAUAUAUCAAAGAGUACAAAUCCAAGAAAGAAGUAACAAUCCAAAACUGUGUAUGAGAUAAUUUUCUUUGUCCAUAACAAUAAGAACACUCCACAACAUACAAAAAAGAGUUUAGCAAAUCUCAAAAGAAAACUGCUCUCAACAACAAAAGAAAAUAAGACAUUAAAACAAUGAGUUGCAUGCUUGAAAGAAAGUAGAGUUUUUAAAGGAUAUAGUGAAAAACCUAAAACAAGAAAAUCUUUUACCCAAUUCUGCAUGCUAUUAUUUUUCCAUGCAUGAAUAUGCUUCAUUACAAUUGUUCAACUGCAUGUAGAGAAACAGAAACAAUAGUAACUACAGCUGACUUAGAACUAUGUGGAUUUCUAAGAGAAGAGUGCAAAUGAAAUUGUAUUAAAAUUAAGUUAGCUAUGUAUAUAUAAAUUUUAUUAUUUCAUUACAUAUAUAUUAUUUAUUUAUUAUUAAUAUAAAUAUUACUAUUUUUUUAAUUUGCCUGCGAACUACAUGUAAAUUAAUUGCUCACAUCAGUGAUGUAUUAAUUCUAUUUCAUUGUACAUAAAAUAUUUCUACAUUGCUAUAUUUAAUUCUACAUUGUACUUCAUAUAUUAGAAUAACAUUGUAUUGAUCCUGUUCAAUUGUAUGUAAAAUAUAUCAAUUCUAUUCUA